rnacentral:rRNA from 1 species
UUGAAAUACCACCCUUUAAUGUUUGAUGUUCUAACGUUGGCCCGUAAUCCGGGUUGCGGACAGUGUCUGGUGGGUAGUUUGACUGGGGCGGUCUCCUCCUAAAGAGUAACGGAGGAGCACGAAGGUUGGCUAAUCCUGGUCGGACAUCAGGAGGUUAGUGCAAUGGCAUAAGCCAGCUUGACUGCGAGCGUGACGGCGCGAGCAGGUGCGAAAGCAGGUCAUAGUGAUCCGGUGGUUCUGAAUGGAAGGGCCAUCGCUCAACGGAUAAAAGGUACUCCGGGGAUAACAGGCUGAUACCGCCCAAGAGUUCAUAUCGACGGCGGUGUUUGGCACCUCGAUGUCGGCUCAUCACAUCCUGGGGCUGAAGUAGGUCCCAAGGGUAUGGCUGUUCGCCAUUUAAAGUGGUACGCGAGCUGGGUUUAGAACGUCGUGAGACAGUUCGGUCCCUAUCUGCCGUGGGCGCUGGAGAACUGAGGGGGGCUGCUCCUAGUACGAGAGGACCGGAGUGGACGCAUCACUGGUGUUCGGGUUGUCAUGCCAAUGGCACUGCCCGGUAGCUAAAUGCGGAAGAGAUAAGUGCUGAAAGCAUCUAAGCACGAAACUUGCCCCGAGAUG